rnacentral:rRNA from 1 species
CUUGAGUGGCGGACGGGUGAGUAACGCGUGAGAAUCUGCCAAGAGGUUCGGGACAACCACUGGAAACGGUGGCUAAUACCGGAUAUGCCGAAAGGUGAAAGAUUAAUUGCCUAGGGAUUGGCUCGCGUCAGAUUAGCUAGUUGGUGAAGUAAUGGUUUACCAAGGCGACGAUCUGUAACUGGUCUGAGAGGAUGACCAGUCACACUGGGACUGAGACACGGCCCAG